ensembl:processed_transcript Gm2822 predicted gene 2822
GUUUGUGUCCUGGAUUUCACUACCCGGGGUUGCGCCUCCAGCACCUAGGAGGAAAGAACACUUUCUCCUCGCCAAUGGGCGCUCGGAUGCUUGCGGACAUGACUGAUCGCGCCGCGUACCGCCGGCACACAGUGGAUGGCGCUGCCCAAAACCUACCGGGACUGUCCCUGCCGCGAGUCCACUCGGAACACCAGCUCUGCAGCCUCGGAGCCCAGUUUUGUAUUUAGGAAUCUGACAGAAAUUGUCAGUCCUUUGUGGGGUUGAUGAAUUCGUCUUCUCUGCACUGAAUCACCUACACAUCUCCUGCCCGUGGGAAUUGCUGGUCCAACUUGCAACUGUUGAAAGAGACAAAUGACUUCACUUUAUACUAUAUGCCUUUAGCUCGGUGACAAUGAAUCUAUGUCUGGACUCCUCCGUGAAGACUGCUGAACAACUCCACCUUGAUCAUAGAAGGUGAUAGGCAAUAGACAUAUUAGACAGUGAUUAAUUCAAUAGCUAGUGAUUAAUUCAGACCCUCAAAACUGGUGAAAGUCCUGAGAAUAAAUAGGGCUGAGCAUGGGACACUGGUAUGAACACCCGUAAGAUGCUGUCUUCCGAACAUAAUAUGGUUGACCUGGCUGUUCAUUCAUGAAUUCACAGCAAGACCUACACACGAUGGAGCCUGUCAAUCAAUAUUCUAGCAUACCAGGGCAGGAAGGGCGUAUGAGCCAGUAGUGAGGAGAUUAUUGGAAAUGAAUGGCUGCUGAGAGAUGCCAUCUAUUUUCUUCCAGUAAAGAGCCUAACACCCAUGCUCAUGUUUGGAACCCUAAUUAAACUCAGUGAGUCACUGUCUUAAUCAGGGUUUCUAUUCCUGCACAAACAUCAUGACCAAGAAGCAAGUUGGGGAGGAAAAGGUUUAUUCAGCUUACACUUCCAUACUGCUGUUCAUCACCAAGGAAGUCAGGACUGGAACUCAAGCAGGUNGAGGCAUUUCCUCAACUGAAGCUCCUUUCUCUGUGAUAACUCCAGCCUGUGUCAAGUUGACACAAAACUAGCCAGUACAGUCACUAAAAGAAAAGAAACCAAGAUCACAAACUAAAGCCUGGAUAUGCUCAGUUCCGAUUUUUGAGGGCCUGAGGUGAGACAGCUCUGGUAGUAAAGGCACUUUCUGCUAAGGCCAAUGAGUUUGAUCCUAAGAGGCUACAUGGUGGAAGGAGAGAACUGACUGCCAGGAGUUAUGCUCUGACCUUCACAAGUGUGCUGUAUCAUGCUCAGACACAAACACACAUACAUAAUAAAAUAAACCAAUCCAGAUUCAAAACAGAGAUUGCUGAACAAAGACUGAAACCCCCCAUCUCAUCCUACCCUGUCCAGGUGUAUAUUUAGUCUUGUUAUGAAAGACAAAAACAAACAAGCAAAAAAACAAAACCUGAUUGGUCUUAUAUAUGCUGAAUAUAUAUUACUUUUGUAAAUUUAAAAAGAGGUAACUUUACUUCUUUAUACCUCCAAAUGUUGUGGAAUGGUCCUGCUUGUCUAUGAUGAGAGUUGCCAAAGUAUGCCUAUAUACUUUAAUAUAAGAGGCAGAUGGAAAAGAAAUUCUAGUCUUGUCCACCAUGAUGGUAAAGCUGGAAUCCUGCAACAAAGUUUGCCCAUCCUUAAAUUAUGCAGCUUUCGACUUCCAUGGAAAUCACAAACAGAAAUUUGCUACAUCUAGACUUCAACAACAACCAGUGUACUAACAAGCCGAGUAACUUGAAACUCAGUAUUUAAUUCCCCUCUGCUCACAGGCAAAAUGGAAAUCUUGAUGGUUGUCUUGCCGAGUUGAUACAAGGACUUGAAAUGAUAUAUUCAGGUACUCAAGUGGUGCCCAGUAUAGAAAAGAUGGACCUCGGGGACUUGAGAGAUGGCUCAGCAGCUAACAGCCCACACUGCCUUUGCAGAAUACCAGAGUCCAUAGCUCAGCACCCACAUCAGGCAGCUCCCAAUGUCUUGUAACUCAAGAAGAUCCACUGCCUAUUCUGGCCUCCACAGGCAACUACAUUCACAUGCACGUACCCACACACAGGCAUACACACACCCGCACAUAAUUAAAAAUAAAAUAUUUGUAAAAGAAGCUACCUUUGAAAACAAAAUCACACUAGCUUCUUCAGCAUUUUCCCAAGUCCUCUAUGAGCCACAGAUGAUAAUUUCCAUUAACGUAAAAGGAUCAAAGAUCCACAUAUCAGAAGCCACAAGGGCAGCCUUUGUAGAUGUCCUGUAAAGGGGACUGCUGGCCAUCUAUCAGGCCUUUGGGAUCACACACAAAAAACAGUUCAACAAUUCCUACCCUCUCCAUCCCCCUAAAUCCAGUGCUUUCUUCCCCCUCCUGGUCAGCCUUCUCUCUGUUUCUCAAACAUACUCUUUUCUACUUCAGGGCCUUUGCAGACUCCUGCCAGGACUGUGCUUGCCCAAGCUCCUUACACAGCCUUCUCCAUCAGUGCUACCCCACAGCCUUCCUAUAAGUAUUCCCUGGCCUCUGCUGUGAGGUUCCAUACCACGCUACUCCUGAACUGCUCUGUUAUCUUCAUAGCACUUAACAUCUACUUAGAUUUUUUGGUUGGUUGGUUGGUUGGUUGGUUGGUUGGUUUGGUUUUGGUUUUUAUUUUGUAGGAUGGGGGUUGGUUUUUGGGUUUGUUCAGAGUUUUUUGUUGUUUGUUUGUUUGUUUGUUUUCUACCAGUAAAAUAUUGAGUAAGACUCAAUAAAGAGGUUCCACCUUU